UGAAAUGCUUAGAUAUGACAUAGAACACCAAUUGCGAAGGCAGCUUACUACGGAUAUAUUGACACUGAGGCACGAAAGCGUGGGGAUCAAACAGGAUUAGAUACCCUGGUAGUCCACGCCGUAAACGAUGAUCACUCGCUGUUGGCGAUACACAGUCAGCGGCUAAGCAAAAGCAUUAAGUGAUCCACCUGGGGAGUACGGCCGCAAGGCUGAAACUCAAAGGAAUUGACGGGGGCCCGCACAAGCGGAGGAACAUGUGGUUUAAUUCGAUGAUACGCGAGGAACCUUACCUGGGCUUAAAUGUAGAGUGCAUGGGGUAGAAAUAUCCCUUUCCUUCGGGACUCUUUGCAAGGUGCUGCAUGGUUGUCGUCAGCUCGUGCCGUGAGGUGUCGGGUUAAGUCCCAUAACGAGCGCAACCCUUAUCGUUAGUUGCCAGCGGGUAAUGCCGGGAACUCUAACGAAACUGCCGGUGUAAACCGUGAGGAAGGUGGGGAUGACGUCAAAUCAGCACGGCCCUUAUGUCCAGGGCUACACACGUGUUACAAUGGCCGGUACAGAGGGCAGCUACCUGGAGACAGGAUGCGAAUCUCCAAAGCCGGUCUCAGUUCGGAUCGGAGUCUGCAACUCGACUCCGUGAAGCUGGAUUCGCUAGUAAUCGCGCAUCAGCCAUGGCGCGGUGAAUACGUUCCCGGGCCUUGUACACACCGCCCGUCAAGCCAUGGAAGUUGGGGGUACCUGAAGUCCGUNACCGU
rnacentral:rRNA from 1 species